AGCUAGGAUAGAGGCGCGGUUUUUAAUAGUACUUUUGCGGAGGAAAGCACAAAGAAGCAAAAGGAAAGGAAAAAUCGCCGAAGCGUACAAUCGAUGCUUUAAGAUUGUACAGCUGGUUCUGCAUAGAAUAUAUGCAAAACUGUCACAAGUUUCUUGUGGAGAGCUAUCAUUCAG
rnacentral:ncRNA from 2 species